GCUCUGCAGGACCAGGCACAAUUGGGCCUUGUAGUCUUUGCUCUAUUCCCGUUACACGACAAUGAGCAAAGAGGGGCAACUGUAAUAGGGCCCAAUCGGCCUGGGCCCACAUAAUAAACCAAAACAAAAAAAAAACAAUAAACAGGCCUACAUUUUACACGGCCCAAUAACCCAUUGAUAUAGCCCAAACCAAGUUACCCUAAAUCAAACCCAGCACAAAAAAAAUAAACCCUAGCCGCAUUUGCUUAGUGCCGCCUUCAACGCCUCCAGCAGCUUCUCCAAGUGCCGCACGACUCGGGGCAGACCCCUCUCCACGCG
rnacentral:lncRNA from 1 species